rnacentral:rRNA from 1 species
GAAGAGAGCUUGCUCUCUGAUUCAGCGGCGGACGGGUGAGUAAUGCCUAGGAAUCUGCCUGGUAGUGGGGGACAACGUUUCGAAAGGAACGCUAAUACCGCAUACGUCCUACGGGAGAAAGCAGGGGACCUUCGGGCCUUGCGCUAUCAGAUGAGCCUAGGUCGGAUUAGCUAGUUGGUGAGGUAAAGGCUCACCAAGGCGACGAUCCGUAACUGGUCUGAGAGGAUGAUCAGUCACACUGGAACUGAGACACGGUCCAGACUCCUACGGGAGGCAGCAGUGGGGAAUAUUGGACAAUGGGCGAAAGCCUGAUCCAGCCAUGCCGCGUGUGUGAAGAAGGUCUUCGGAUUGUAAAGCACUUUAAGUUGGGAGGAAGGGCAGUAAGUUAAUACCUUGCUGUUUUGACGUUACCGACAGAAUAAGCACCGGCUAACUUCGUGCCAGCAGCCGCGGUAAUACGAAGGGUGCAAGCGUUAAUCGGAAUUACUGGGCGUAAAGCGCGCGUAGGUGGUUCGUUAAGUUGGAUGUGAAAGCCCCGGGCUCAACCUGGGAACUGCAUCCAAAACUGGCGAGCUAGAGUAUGGCAGAGGGUGGUGGAAUUUCUUGUGUAGCGGUGAAAAUGCGUAGAUAUAGGAAGGAACACCAGUGGCGAAGGCGACCACCUGGGCUAAUACUGACACUGAGGUGCGAAAGCGUGGGGGAGCAAAACAGGAUUAAUUACCCUGGUAGUCCACGCCGUAACGAUGUCGACUAGCCGUUGGGAUCCUUGAGAUCUUAGUG